CGGAUGCUUGCACUCAAUUGGAAAGAGGAGUGGCGGACGGGUGAGUAACACGUGGGUAACCUACCCAUCAGAGGGGGAUAACACUUGGAAACAGGUGCUAAUACCGCAUAACAGUUUAUGCCGCAUGGCAUAAGAGUGAAAGGCGCUUUCGGGUGUCGCUGAUGGAUGGACCCGCGGUGCAUUAGCUAGUUGGUGAGGUAACGGCUCACCAAGGCCACGAUGCAUAGCCGACCUGAGAGGGUGAUCGGCCACACUGGGACUGAGACACGGCCCAGACUCCUACGGGAGGCAGCAGUAGGGAAUCUUCGGCAAUGGACGAAAGUCUGACCGAGCAACGCCGCGUGAGUGAAGAAGGUUUUCGGAUCGUAAAACUCUGUUGUUAGAGAAGAACAAGGACGUUAGUAACUGAACGUCCCCUGACGGUAUCUAACCAGAAAGCCACGGCUAACUACGUGCCAGCAGCCGCGGUAAUACGUAGGUGGCAAGCGUUGUCCGGAUUUAUUGGGCGUAAAGCGAGCGCAGGCGGUUUCUUAAGUCUGAUGUGAAAGCCCCCGGCUCAACCGGGGAGGGUCAUUGGAAACUGGGAGACUUGAGUGCA
rnacentral:rRNA from 1 species